UUUUAUAUAGAGACAUUACAACAAAAACUGAAGGGGCACAAGUUUCAAAUGAGGGGGCUAAUCCUUUUGGCUAAUCGUGGAACAGGGCCAGCUACAGUAUAGUGUAUAUUUUUUAUUUGAACAAAUUAUUUCUCACUGAAAUGAAAUAUACGUUUCGAAAACCGGGUUGAACGCGAUUAUUAUUUACUUUUCUAAACGUUAAAACAAAGCGUCGAAUUUUUGUUUACAUUGAGACAAAUGCGGGUUUAACACCUGAAACCCUGAAAACCAACAUACAGAGAAGAGUUUUCGAGAGCUAACGUUAGCAUACUGUAGUUAUCAGCUGAUUUAGUAGUCACACCAUGAUUAACUGUAAAUGGCAAUAAGGACGACGACAGUCAUUAAAACCAAAUGUAUAUACCGUUACCUUAUAGGUUAUUGGACGAUUUUGACGAUUUAAAAAUGUAAAAUAUACAAAAAAUGCUCUAUCAAUUUUAGCUAGCUAUGAACAUUACCUUGGUUUGUUUCCGGAUGUGCGGAUGGGAUGUUGCGAAUCUUUGUUUCACUACGAACAAGUAAAUAGAGGGCACCGUAUCUCAAGACAUGACUGGAGAGAACUGUUUGGAGAACUGUACCUAGUCAAUGCACUUUGCUGUUUACAGUAUGCAACUUGCUACUAUGAGUUCAGAUUCGGUUAUAUUGUUGCAGACGGUGACAUUUUCUGCUGAAAACCACCAAGAUCAACGGAUUAAAGAGCCCAAAGAAACCAACUAUCCAAUAGGUGUGGACCAAAGACUCAAAAGAAAGGAAAACAAACACAAAACACAAAGGAGAGGACGAAAGAGGUGUCCGGUGGAUGGCUGUCAAGUCACCGUCAUUCACCUACCUCGUCACCUGCGGCAGGUCCAUGAGUGGGGCAGAGAGGAGGCCCAGUCUGCAGUCAACACAUUUGGUCUCGGAGCACCAAGCAGACAUGGUGACAGCAGCAGCAAGGCUAAAAACAACCAUCACUCCAGGCCUUGCCCCAUGACAGGCUGUCAUGAAUUUGUCAAAAGACUGCCAGCCCACCUGAGAAAGCAACACAAGCUUGAAAAUAACUCUCCUCUAUACAGAGAGCUUCUUACAGCAUCACAGAAGAGAAGGUCAAAUGUCAAUGAAUGAAUGUUAUGAUGUUUACUGUGAAUAAUUAUUCUAGCUGAUGUAUUGAAGUUGAAUGAGAAAUAUGUAAUUGAAUUGGGACAUGAUUGAACAAGACAAUAUUUGGGAAAGGAAUAAAGAAUGCGCUUGAACUGCCACACAGCAGGCCGACUCAGACAUCCUUUCUGAGGCUUGUAACAGAUACAGCAUAGAAAGACCAGCAUCAAUUCAUAUCCGAAGUGGUCACACUCAUUUACACACAGACCUUUUUUGUAGGAUGUAAACCUUAUGUAUGUCCAGUGGUGUAAAGUACUUUAGUAAAAAUACUUUAAAGUACUACUUAAGUCGUUUUUGGGGUAUCUGUACUUAACUUUAUUAUUUAUAUUUUUGAAGACUUUUACUCCAAUACAUUUCCCUGACACCCAAAAGUACUCGUUGAAUGCUUAGCAGGACAGGAAAAUUGUCUAAUUCACACACUUAUCAAGAGAACAUCCCUGGUCAUCCCUACUGCCUCUGAUCUGGCAGACUCACUAAACACAAAUGCUUAGUUUGUAAAUUAUGUCUGACUGUUGAAGUGUGCCUCUGGCUUUCCGUAUAAAAAAUAUAAAAAA